UAUAUUUACCCCAUUUCCAAGUUAACCCUUGUACUGCUAACAAUGGGGCGAGAUACGAUUUUUUUCGAAAACGAGUAGUACUUUGCUCAGUAUAAAAUGUAUGUCAAGAUAAGAUUAUAGCUGUUAUGGACUGAAACCAAUAGAUACAUCGAUGGACGUCAAAACGCCAGACUCGUCACUAUGUAGAUUUUGCUACGGAAAUUAACCCGUGUCCAAACACAUUUGUGUCCAAACACUUUUGAUAGAACGGAGAAUAUCAAAAUCUUUCAUAUUUCCUGAAAAAUAAUACAGCAAAACCUCUCCAAAAAUCAUCUCUUGACUACAUAAGAUAUAUAUAAAAAAAACAACACUGAGGAGGUUCAAACUUGUGAUAGGCACACGGAUUUACUGUCAGAUUUAUAAUAAGGUGAUGUGGUAUGAUUGUCCAUGAGACAACUAUCCGCCAAAGUUCAAAUGAAGUGGAUGUGAACAUUUAUAGGCAACUGUACAGCCUUCAACUAUGAGAAAAACCCAACCGUAUAGUCGGCUAUAAACGCCCCGACAUGAACAAUUUGAAGCAAUUCAAAUGACAAACUUACAGCCUAAGUUAUAACAAAUUAAUUUUCGGUCGAUAUCACAUACUUCAAUGUAAAUGCAGACAAAAAAUGGUAUGUAAGCAAUCGGCAUAACAAGAAUUCGAUCCAAACAACACAAGGCGCGCCAAAAAUCGUAGGCAUUUCCUCCCAUGCAUUCAUAUCCGUUACAUCAUUCAACUACAUAUGUUAAGUUCUAAUAACAUUUAAAUUGCAAGUAUGGAAAACA
rnacentral:lncRNA from 1 species